rnacentral:lncRNA from 1 species
AUGCGGCGGCUGGAGCAGCCAGAAGAACCCUCUGCUCACCAACACCUUCCUCUGUCUCCCAAGUCCUUCCUGUCGGCUCCUUGCAGACAGACGGCUAAGUUCACCUGGGCACAAACAAGUCAAAGGCUUCCUUAUGCUGGUUCCAGACAUCCACCACGAAUGUGGAUGAUGAGCCUAUGGGGCUGCCGCACUGC